CUCUAGGUAAGAGACAACUCAAGAAUAUAUGAUCGACCAACAUGGAGGAGCGUUUGUAGCAUGUUUCAGCUGCCAACGGAGAAGACCCACACGAAAAUGAUGACCCACGGUCCCAGCACGACGAACCAAAUCAGACGAAGACGAAGACGAAGAACUAACACACACGCAAGGUCUAAACGAUUGAACACAAACACGAAGAAGAAGAAGAAGAAGAAGAAGAAGAAGAAGACCCACUUCCCUGAAGAGUAAUACUACAUACAAUUAUGAAAUGUAUAAGGGUCGUACAGUCGUUUUGAAAAAGAGUAAAAAAGAAGACCCACUUCCCUGAAGAGUAAUACUACAUACAAUUAUGAAAUGUAUAAAGGUCGUACAGUCGUUUUGAAAAAGAGUAAAAUUCACUUUUAAAAAUUUAUUCUUUUUCAUGAGUCACGUAUUUAUUUAUUUUUUUCAAAGUGAUUGUGCGGCGCUUGUGAAUUCACAAAUGCAAGUAUCAUUCCUUUUUCUAAUUAGAGUUGUUUUUAAUGGUAGAAAAAUUUGGGUUGGAGAUGCACCAAAUGGGGAACAGUUUAGUAGUUCUCGUGCAUCUGCAGAAUAAGAAUAUGUAUCUCCGUUGGAUAAUUCUAGAUACAGUUAUGAGUUAUACAAGUAUGAUGCACUUCUUUCAAUAAAGAGUGGAAUCUACUAUUAAAACAA